AGCCGUCUGGGCGGCUCUAAAUAGGUUUUAAGCCCCUAGCGUUCCUCUUUGGAGGAGGUAAUA
rnacentral:ribozyme from 1 species